rnacentral:rRNA from 1 species
UAUUGCUCAAUGGGGGAAACCCUUACGUAGCAACGCCGCGUGAGUGAUGAAGGCCUUCUGGUCGUAAAACUCUGUCCCAAGGUAAGAAUAAUGACGGUACCCUAGGCGGCAGCCCCGGCUAACUACGUGCCAGCAGCUGCGGUAUUACGUAGGGGGCAAGCGUUAUCCGGAAUCACUGGGCGGAAAGGGUUCGUAGGCGGCCAAUAAAGUCAGGGGUGAAAGGCUACGGCUUAACCGUAGUAAGCCUUUGAAACUUAUUGGCUUGAGUACAGGAGAGGUAAGUGGAAUUCCUAGUGUAGCGGUGAAAUGCGUAGAUAUUAGGAGGAACACCAGUGGCGAAGGCGACUUACUGGACUGUAACUGACGCUGAGGCACGAAAGCGUGGGGAGCGAACAG